AGAUGAACGGAUGACCUGCUUGCUGGGCUACCCAUUACUGAUUCUUGAGCUGAUUGAAAUCAACCAGUCUGAGUUAGUUCUCUUAGUUGGGGAGUUAUUUGGGUGGUAACGAAGCAGUGGACCAGGCAAUCAAUCGAGCACACCAUUGAGACAUGGAUCAACCUCCACUGA